GACGAACGCUGGCGGCGUGCUUAACACAUGCAAGUCGAACGGAAAGGCCUUGCUUUUGUGGGGUGCUCGAGUGGCGAACGGGUGAGUAACACGUGAGUAACCUGCCCUUGACUUUGGGAUAACUUCAGGAAACUGGGGCUAAUACCGGAUAGGAGCUCCUGCUGCAUGGUGGGGGUUGGAAAGUUUCGGCGGUUGGGGAUGGACUCGCGGCUUAUCAGCUUGUUGGUGGGGUAGUGGCUUACCAAGGCUUUGACGGGUAGCCGGCCUGAGAGGGUGACCGGCCACAUUGGGACUGAGAUACGGCCCAGACUCCUACGGGAGGCAACAGUGGGGAAUAUUGCACAAUGGGCGGAAGCCUGAUGCAGCAACGCCGCGUGCGGGAUGACGGCCUUCGGGUUGUAAACCGCUUUCGCCUGUGACGAAGCGUGAGUGACGGUAAUGGGUAAAGAAGCACCGGCUAACUACGU
rnacentral:rRNA from 1 species